UCCUUUCCCUCCCCCUCCCCCUCCUCCUCCUCCUCCUCCUCCCUCUGCUCACCAACGAGGAGGCUUCACAAUGGUGGAAGUGAGAGCCAACGAGUCCUGGCACAGCUCCUGGUUCCACCUUCUCCUCCUCCUCCUCCUUGCUGCUGCUGCCUCUUCCUGUCAUGGAGAGAAGAAGCAGGUGCUGCCCUUGCGGGAGCUGCAGCUUGGAGACAUCAAGACCUCUGAGAAAUGCCUGCCACAGAGAUCAAGAAGGGUUAAUGGUGCAACAAUCCUGGAGAUGAAGCACCAGAGUUACUGCUCCUGGUCAACCAAGAGCAGGGAGGAUAGAGCUUGGAAGCUUUUGGCUCUUGACAAUGCACGAGUGUCAUCCUUACAGUCCCAGAUCAAUGAUGCCGCCAUGUCCUACAGCGCGGAGAAACCAUCAUCAUCACCACCACCAGCAGGAGCUCAAAUCCCUCUCAACUCGGGAGCAAAGCUCCAAACCAUGAACUACAUCGUCACCAUCCAGCUGGGUGGCAAGCAGAUGACAGUGAUGGUGGACACUGGGAGCGACCUCACCUGGGUCCAGUGCAAGCCAUGCCGGUCCUGCUACACCCAGGAAGACCCCCUCUUCGAUCCCGCCGCCUCGCCUUCCUACCAACCCAUCCCAUGCAACUCCUCCAUGUGCGACUCCCUGCAGAUGGCCACCGGAGUCUCCGGCGCUUGCGGCGCCGACCAGCCCAGCUGCAACUACGCCCUCAGCUACCGAGACGGAUCCUACACCAACGGAGUUCUCGCUCGGGACAGGAUCGAUCUGGCCGCCGUCCCCGUCCGAGGAUUCGUGUUCGGCUGCGGCGAGAGCAACCAAGGCAUGUUCGGCGGCACCUCCGGUCUGAUGGGGCUGGGCAGGUCGCCGCUCUCUCUGGUCUCGCAGACGAUACCUGAGUUUGGAGGGGUCUUCUCCUACUGCUUGCCGACCAGAGAAUUCGACUCAUCGGGCUCCUUGAUUCUCGGCAACGACUACUCUGUCUACAAGAACUCAACCCCGGUCGUCUACACCAGAAUGAUCACUGAUCCCCAACAGGCGUCCUUCUACUUCCUCAACCUCACCGGCAUCAGCAUCGGUGGCACAGCUCUUCGAUCCUCAACCCAGUUCAACACCCAAGUCCUCAUCGAUUCCGGCACCGUGAUCACUAGGCUGGUUCCUUCCGUCUACAAGACGCUGAGGGAUGAGUUCCUGCGGCAUUUCUCCGGGUAUCCGCCUGCGCCUGGGUACUCGAUCCUCGACACCUGCUUCGACUUGGCUGGAUACAAGGAGGUGGACGUCCCCACCAUCAGAUUCACGUUCGAUGGCGAUGCAGAGGUGGAUGUGGAUGUCAAUGGUGUUCUGUACUUCGCCAAGCCGGACGCAUCUCAGGUUUGCUUGGCCUUCGCAAGCCUUUCUUACGAAGAAGAGAUCGGGAUCAUCGGGAACUACCAGCAGAAGAAUCUGAGGGUGGUGUAUGAUACAGUCGGAUCAAAGGUGGGGUUUGCAGAGGAGACUUGUGGUUAUAGUUGAAGGAGGUGGAAGAACAUCGGAGAGCUUCAAUCUACUAUUGAGUGCUUGCAAUUGUAUACUGUGAGACACUGGAGGAAGUAGUUUCUGGCGGGCAUGAAUUGGUCCAACAUGGAGGCAAACUUGAGGUUGAGCUGUUAGAACUCACCAAGAAAACAGGUGAACCGAGGAAUUCUGUGAAGGUACAACAAGGACUUGAUUUGAGUCAACAAAUCUACUGGCAAUCAACACUUUGAAGGUGAAGUAACACUCAAAACUGAAUGAAUACAGAAUGUAUUUUAGAUUAGCAAGUGUUGCAAAAUGAACAGCAUAAGGUUCUA